UGUGAGACGACGAAAAGAGCUUCCUGUGGCCUAUCUGCUGCGUCCAUUGUAUGGAUGAAGUGUGGUGAAGUUUAUCAAGUCAAUUGAAGCGAAAGUGGACCGUUCGGUCGCCAAUAAAUCGUCGGUGCCGCAUUGCAUUCAAAAGCAUUCAUAGCUGAAACAAAGUAAGCGAAGACCUUGGCGAAGACGUUAGCCGUUGUCCGAAGAGGCAAAUGAACCCGGCAAGCGCAACAACCCGUCUGUGAGAUUAUCUGUGCUGGUGUUCUUUGUACCAGAUGUAACCCUCACCCUGGAAAUAAAUGAUAGAAACCUUCGAUACGAGGAUCUGGUAAGGUCUGGAGGGCUCACCCCCGUUUGCUAGCAUCCAAGAACUGAUAAGUCCGGACCCGGAAGCGCACAAGUGGAAUGUUGGAGCGAAGAUUAGGUUAAACAGGGUGUACACCAGAGAAACUCGUGUAUGCAGCAUGGGAAGCGAUCAUCUAUGCACGGUGACCGACUAUUAGGCACAUGCUUAACUAUUUUGAUUUAUUACUGUUCAUCUAUUGGGCCUCAACAGAUCCCGAACGACCACAUCGAGACUGCCCUUUGAUUCUUAAAUAUUGUAAAGAAAGAAUAAACACCUAUUAUCUUGAGAUA